CGUCAGCGCUGUUUUUUUACCGGACAUAUAAUUGUUAACUUCUGUGCCAUUGUUGGCUGCGGCAACAGAGGUGAUCGAAACAGGGGGCCGAAGUCAUUUUACAGGCUGCCGGCGGUUAUAACACACCAGGGUGAAGCAACACAUGAACUUUCAAAGCGUCGCCGGGAAAAAUGGCUCAAUAGGAUCGGACGGGAGGAUCUCAAACCAUCCAACCACAACUAUACUCGCGUUUGUGGGGAUCAUUUCACGUCAGGUAAAUCAGUGGCACUUUUUGACAAAAAUCAUCCUGACUGGGCACCGUCUGUCAAAUUGGGCCACGAGAAAAUUACAGCACCUUCCCCUGCUACACAUGCCAGGUAUAAACGCGCCAGAAAAAGGUCAUCCAUCGCACUACUUGAUCUCUACAGCAUGGUAUCUGAUAUACCAUCUCCAGAAGAGCCCGCACCAGUCCUGGGAGCCACUGGGGAAGAAGAAGGACUGAUUGAACCAGAGACUGGCACUGCAACUCAGACUGAUUUGACUGGUGAAAUGAUUGACAAAAUGUCAUUUGAAAUUAAUAAUGUAACAACAGAAAAUGUUAACUU